CCCCAGACCUCCAUCCUGGACCUGCGCUUCAACCGAAUCCGAGAGAUCCCGCCCGGAGCCUUCAGGAAGCUGAGAAACCUGAACACCUUG